rnacentral:rRNA from 1 species
GACGAACCGUGCGAACGUUAUUCGGAAUCACUGGGCUUAAAGCGCGUGUAGGCGGGACGGCACGUCGGUCGCUGAAAUCCCCCGGCUCAACCGGGGAACGGGCGCCGAUACGACCGCCCUGGAGGGACGUAGGGGGACCUGGAACUUCCGGUGGAGCGGUGAAAUGCGUUGAGAUCGGAAGGAACGCCCGUGGCGAAAGCGAGGUCCUGGACGUUUUUCUGACGCUGAGACGCGAAAGCCAGGGAGCGAACGGG